rnacentral:rRNA from 1 species
UACGGAGGGUGCAAGCGUUGUCCGGAUUUAUUGGGUUUAAAGGGUACGUAGGUGGCCUUAUAAGUCAGUGGUGAAAUGCUGCAGCUUAACUGUAGCACUGCCAUUGAUACUGUAGGGCUUGAGUGUCGUUGAGGCAGGCGGAAUUUAUGGUGUAGCGGUGAAAUGCAUAGAUACCAUAAAGAACACCGAUAGCGAAGGCAGCUUGCUAAGCGACAACUGACACUAAUGUACGAAAGCGUGGGUAGCGAAC